AGUGACCUGCCAAUAUCAUACAGCAGGUUCUUGGCAGAGCCAACUCUUUAAACCGGGUUUGCCGGCUCCACUGGCUGCAUCGUGGGGCUUGGUGACCCUUGGUGCUCCACAGAGGGCCACCGAAUGAGCUUCGUGGAGCUUUAAGCAUCAUCGCUGGAGGAGACAGCUCUUGUUUCAGUCCUCCCGGGCCGCCUCACAUUCCGGAGACACAAACUAACCAGAAGAAGUGGGGGAGAGAUAGGCCCAGAAGGCAGACAUCACUGAUAUUUCCAGGAGACCGUGGGAGUCAUCAAUGUUUGGGAGAGGCCGUGGGAUCAUACGGAGAGUCUCUCUUAGCCUAAUUUGAGUGUCCACAAUUGCAAAAGCCAGGGUUGCUGGGAGGAGAAGCUGAGCUCCGGGGCAUAGAAGCUCUUGAUAAGCUAUAAAAUCUGCAUGCAAGGCCACCUGGGUGGCUUAGUCCAUUGAGCGUCUGACUUUGGCUCAGGUCAUGAU